rnacentral:rRNA from 1 species
UACGAAGGGGGGCUAGCGUUGUUCGGAAUUACUGGGCGUAAAGCGCACGUAGGCGGAUAUUUAAGUCGGGGGUGAAAUCCCGGGGCUCAACCCCGGAACUGCCUUCGAUACUGGGUAUCUUGAGUUCGGAAGAGGUGAGUGGAAUUGCGAGUGUAGAGGUGAAAUUCGUAGAUAUUCGCAGGAACACCAGUGGCGAAGGCGGCUCACUGGUCCGAUACUGACGCUGAGGUGCGAAAGCGUGGGGAGCAAACAGG